GCAGGAUAUGGGCCAAACAGAGGCAGGUGGGACUAGUGUGCACGGGGCAUGUUGGUCGGCGUAGGCAAAUUGGACUGAAGGGCCUGUUUCUAUACUGUAUUACUCUAUUAUUGAAUGCCUUGGCUUUAGGCAGCAAGCAUCUCUUGCGUUUUGUUCACCACAUUACCUAUUCAUACUGCUUCCUUUAGGGAUCAAAGAACUGAACACAUUCCCUCCUUAAUACUCCCAUGGGUUUUACAAUCCAUAGUGUGGGUCCUAUCUUUUUUGAACCACCCAAAAUACAUCACCUCAUACUCAUCGAGAUUGGAUUCCAUCUGCUGAAGUCCUGCCUCACCCAUCAACACCUCUUGCCACAGGUUGCAAUUCUUGAAUAAAGGUACCACAUUUGCACCCUACCAAUCCCGUGAAGAUUAAAACAUCUUGUUUACCCCGUCGCUCCCCUCCCAUCCUCUUCCACUUACAACCGUACUUGUGGCUUUGCAUUUCACUCUUCUUUCUGUAUUUAACAUCCUAAUGUCUCUUUUUGUUAGCUUUUGGCUCCUUUUCAUCUCUAACCUUUGUUCACCAUCUACCAAUCAAAAUACACCCCACCUGCAUCCACUUGCCAAGCUUUGUCCCAUCAUCCCCCCCCCACCUCAAUCAAUCUGAAGAAGGGUCCCAACCUGAAAUGUCAUUCUAAAAUGACCUGAGAGAUGCUGCCUGACAUGCUGAGUUACGCCUGUGGUUUUGUGUGCUUCGUAAGAUUCAAGCAUUUGCAGUUCCUUGUGUCCAUUAAAAAAUAUCUGGGGCCCCAACAAACUCUUUAUUUGCCUCUCAUAGCAGAUGACUACAUCCCCUCAUUUUCUGGGGAUUUAUCCACAUUUAUGCUCACUAAAACAUCUGAUACAACCACCUUUCUAAUGUUAACCUGCUCUCCCCUUCCCUGAAAUCAACUACAAUGUCUUUCUUUUUAAUGAGUACCAAAAAAAACAUUUUUUGCUUACCAGGGGAAUUUUGUGGCCCUUCUUUGCCCUCCUUAUUACCCCUACACUUACUGUACUCGCCUAUUUUCAGAUCUCCAUAUCUGCUGUAUGCUUCCAUUAUUUCUUUAUCAAACCCUCUGUUUUACUUGACAUCCUUGGAUUUGCCUUUUUUUUUUUUAACACUUUUCACCCCACCUCCCUGCAGGUAUGUUAGUCCUGUUUAGUUUCAGGUGGAAUCCGUUCAGCUUGUAUAGGUUCAACAUUCCCCAGAAAUGGUCGCAAUGAUCCAAAAAUCUAAAGCCCUCUAUCCUACAUACCUUUGGUCAUGCAUUUAUUGGACUUGUCCUCCUAUUCCUAAUAGCACUGGCAUAUGGUACCAGAACUAAUUCAGAGAUUACAACCUUAGAGGUUAAUCUGCUUCCCAAUUUCCUAAAUUUAUGUUGCAAGACCUCCUUCCUUUACCUAUAUCAUUGGUACCAAAAUAUACCGCAACCACGGCUGCUCACCCUCUGCCUUCAGAAUGUCCUGCUGCUGCUCUUAGACAUCUUGAUCCUGGUAUCAGGGAGGCAACAUACCAUUCAAAAAGCUUGCUUGCAGUCACAGAAAUGGCAUCUCCUUGCAAUCAUUAUAACGGUAUAAACCAGCAUCUGCAGUUCCUCCCUGCACUCAACACAAUGUCUUCAGCUCCAUUCUGAGUCCAUCCACAGCUGGGCAAUAAGAUCAGUCAGGAGCUGCAGACGGACACAUUCUCAGAACAUAAGGUCAGCAGGGACAAUGGGAAUCCCUGAUUUCCCCACAUAUGUCAAGAGGGACAUUCUACAGCACCAAACCCUCCUGCCCUGAACUGAAGUGACCCCUUUGAGUAGUUUAAUGUCACAUGCACCGAGGUACAGUGAAAAGCUUUUGUUGCAUGCUAACCAGUCGGCAGAAAGAUAAUACAUGAUUAAAAUCGAGCCAUCCAGUAUACAGGUACACGAUGAUGGUAAUAAUGUUUAGUGCAAGAUAAAGUUCAGUAAAGCCUGAUUAAAGAUCCAAUGUGGUAGAUAGUAGCUCAGGACUGGUCUCUAGUUGUUGGAAGGUAGGUUCACUUGCCUGAUAACAGCUGGGAAGAAACUGUCCCAGCUGGGGGGAAACAUUCAUUUUAGUGUACUGGUCAUGCUUAUUCCCAUCUAAACACUACCAACUACAAUUUAAAGUCCCUACCCUACUUUUAUUUCAGUAAAUGAAACACAGAAAAGUAUAAAUUUCCACUCUGCUGCCUCUGGUCUCCCUCAGGUGGAUAUGGUCUUGUUAUGGUCUCGAUAUGGUCUCGUUAUGCGCUGAUUUCUCUCUGAUCCUCUUCUCUCGCUGCUACCACUCACUGUCUAGUUUAAUGGAAUAGCACAUUACUUGAGAUAGAAUGUUCACUCCCUCCUUUAUCAAGAUUAUAGAGGUUCCAGUGAUGUUGUUGUACCCAUAUCUGUUUGCAUGCAAGGUUGAUGUAAACUGAGCCACCAGUCAGAGAUCAGAAGCUGCAGUGUGUGACUUAUCACUGACUGCAUUCAAUUGGUACUGUAGCCUUUUGAAUGAUUUUUACAUUUUGAAUGUUUCAAGAGCAAUGACAAGAACGUCCAUUUUCCAUAAACACUUUUUUUUUUUAAACCCUCUGCUGUUAGUGAAAUUUCAGGUCCAAGAACACAGAGGUGCUAUCAUUUAUGUGACAUCCAGCCUCCAUGACCAGAAACAGCCUUUAUCAGAUCUCAUUGACUGAUUCAAGUUUUUGAGCAGGACACAAUUCCAAUCAAACUUUCACUUUGGCAUGUCUGUAAAGUACGAACUAUUUCUCAGUGAUGAAGAAGAAUCGAUAUAAAUGUAUGAUUUGGCUUACCCUUUCCAUUUUUGUUGCGUCACUGUGAUGUUGGCCACUGGUAAGUCGGGUGUAAGCUUCAGUCAACUAGAGUUAGAGGGUGACGAACAAGUGGAGAUGUAAUUCAUCGCAAUGGUCUGUACUUCAAAUAAUGUGGUCACUUUAUUUUAUUGUUGAUUGAAAUAUUUUACAGGUAUUUGAUACAGUAAAUCUGGAACAUAUGUUGUCUCCGUUAUCAGUGUGAACACAGGAGUUUGGAAAAAAAUUGAUAGGAAGGCUAAGACGCAAUAUAUGGAUGUUAAAAAUAUAAAUGUUCAGUUUCAAAAUGGUUUAACAUGUUCGUGGUGGUUCAGUAAAUUGGUGUCUGACGCUACCACUUGCAUUUGGUAGCUUUCGUUGGUAAUGGUGAGAUUUUAUCAAAUUUAUAGGUUGUUAGAUUUUAUUUCGACCACAUGAUAGAAUGCACUAUUAUUACAAGGAGGGAAAAUCCCAAAAUAAGAUGGCUAGUCUCAUUCCAUGGAGAUACUCCUUAUUAGGCUGUUGUAUUGAUCUCUGAGAUUACUGGUGCUAAACACCUCCUCAGCCUUCUGCAUGAAAAAGAAAGCUGAAUACGUACAACAGCCACAGGCAUUAAAAUGGGGAACAGUAAUAUAAACACAUGUACUUAAGUGCUAUUAUCCACUGGUUUCUGGGUACUGAAGCAGCCUGCUUUUGGAAUGUACCAUGAUCAGAUCAUACAUAUUUACGGGGAUGUACCAUGAUCAGACCAUACAUAUUCACGUAUAACAUAUGCAAACAUUUUAUCUGAAUUAUCACUGACACUGAUUGUUUGCCGGCAAUGAAGAGUUUUAUAGGUUCAAAAAACUCUGGAAGUCUGCAGUGACUUUCCUAAAAGACUGGAACUAUCAUCUAUGGAUCUGUAUCUUCACCUGUACCCACCUAUCGCUUGCCUGACUUUAUCUUGCCCCUGCCUCUCUUCCAGCUUCCUCCAUCCAUUACAAUCAGCCUGAAGAAGGGUCCCAACCAUAAAUUGUGUCUAUCCAUUUCCUCCAGAGAUGCUUUCUAACCCACUAAGUUACUCCAUUAAAGUCUGUAAAGUCAAAAAUUGCUCAUUUCGAACAGAUUUAAAAUUUUCUACAUUCAUGUUUGCUUUAACGCAAACUGAUCAGAAUGUGUCCUGUUGGAACAUUAUGUAAGAUUUUAGUAAAUUAUGAUGUAGUCUACUAAGCCAAUACACUUCAUUAAUCAAUGACUAAUCUAAAAACAUCACUAAUCCUUCGAGCACUCCACUGACAACCUAGCAUAUUUUAUUCAAGUCUCGGCUGACAAUAAAAUGGCUUAAAACAAAUCCAAAUAUUCCAUCUAUAUUGGAAUAUAUAAUCUAUAUUUUUAUCUCAAUUUUUCUUUCUUUUUCUAGAUUGGAUGGCUUAAAUUUGAUUUUAAAAAGUCACCUUUCACACUUUGACUUUAGCUCAGAACUGUACAUAUUUGGCAGAAUGAAAUUUUCACAUGUAUUCCAUUUAAGGUGAAAAACAAUAACAAAUAUAAUGUAAAAGAAUGUUCUACACAAGAUGUAGACAGCUAUGGUACGGCUGGAGGUAAUGUUGAAAGAGGAUGCCAUGAAGCAUUUUGAGUAUAUUCUGCCAGUCAGUGAGAUCUAUAUUUGACAUGUGCCCUAUCUACACAUACUUGUAUUGUCUCAUGUCUUUUAAUUGCUUUGGUUAGCAAAUAUCUAUCAAUCCCAGACUUAAAAUGAACUGAUCUAGGAAUGACUACAUUUGCAGUAAUUCACUGUGU